rnacentral:lncRNA from 1 species
AUGCGCACACGAGGGCAGAGGAGCUGCAGCUCCCCCACACUGCGGCCGGUUGAGGGCAUCAAGCGCACCCUGAGCCCUACGGUCACCCGCCCCUUCUCUGCAAGGGCUGUGCCCCAAGGCCUCCGGGGGAUGCCCGAAGCCCCAGGUGGUACCGGACCGCACCGGCGGAAGUCGGCCGACCCACCGCGGAGGACCUGGGCAGAGCAAGACGCGAGCAACAGGUCACCCAUAAUAAGACAGAACCACUGCAACGACGACGUCCUGUGCUGAAAGUCACGUGAGCCUCUCUCCCUCACUCUCUUACUCACCAUCUUCCGGUCACGAGGUGAGGCGAGAGGAUGCCCGCCCGCCCCCAGGUGGCGGGACCAGGGAGGCGGUGACGCAGGCGCGCCGUGACGUCACGCCCCUGGAGGCCGGCGAUCCGCCGUCCGCUGAUUCGUCAGAAGGAAGAGCAUCCUCCUCCUGGCUGCUGCUGAUUCGUCAGAAGGAGGAGCACCCGCCUCCUGACCGGGCGUGACGCCAUCCCUGAAACUUGGGGAAGCAAAACCUGCAGAUCAGGAGGGGAAGGCGGUGUUUUCCCCGCUUGGCCCUUGGCGAGGACUAGGGGACGCCUUGGGGGAUAAGAUUCAUUGCUGACCUGGCUGGGCUCAUGAGCUCUAACAGACAUGUAAUUCUUAUCUCAUGCAAAAACCCUAAUUUUCCGACUCCUCCUAAAUAGGUUCCCAAAAUGAAUUCCUAGAAUCCCAAGCCCUGCUCACUUUUAUUUCUCUUCAGGGGGGCAAGUUGCAAGGUUGUCUCCCUGAAAGGCAUUGGGUCCACCAGAGGUGGACACACAGGCCCUCGGUUGGGUCCACUUGGUUGGUGAAAAAUCGUAUCUUGUUUUACUUUGAUCUCUUUCAUCUCCAGGGAAACUACAUUUUUAAAAUGCAUUUGUUGGUGAUUUUUCAAAAAAAAAGGCUCCAUGAUAGCGAGGAUAUUAAUUUUUCACUUGUUACAUACAUCACAUAUUUUCCUCGAUAUUUUUCCCCUCUAAUUUUAUUUGUGAUGGGUUUUUCCCUUCAUACAUGAAUUCAAAGUGUCUAUAUAGGAAAAUCUGUCCCAUCUGUUGCAACCUCUGUAUUUUUGCAAAACACUUAGGAAGCCUCUUUUCCUUUUCAACAUUAUAAAAACGGAUAUAUGCUUUUUUUCUAAUGUGGUUUCGUUUGUUACCUUUAAUAUAUUUAAAUGGCUUGGAGUUUAUUUUAGAUGAGGUGUGAGAUAGCUCCUACGGUGUGUGUGUUAUGUGUAAACUUUUUUCUGAAUGUUAGCCAGUUGUUCAAGCACAUUUACUGAAGAAUGUGCGUUUCCCCUACUCAUUUGUGUGUGUUUGGAUGAUGUAAUUGAAUAGAGAAAUUUGGUACCAAAAGUACCUCCCUGGCCAUCUGGGAGGACAGAUUGACCUCGAGUGGCCAGGAUGGAGCUGUGGACCAAGAGGUUCAGUUGUUGUAACAGAGAAAGGGUGAGUGCCUGAAUUACAACAGGCAGGCUCACAAGAGGUGAGGAGAGAGGGCCAAUAGCCAUUGUCUCCCCACUCUCCUCCCCAUACUCCUCACCUUGCUGCCUUUCCCCAGCCUGUAAGCUUCAGCCACCAUCAAGGGAGGGGAUAGAACCCAGCAGCUAAUCAUGGAGAAUCCAGAAUCAGAUUACUGCACUUCAAUCCUGACUUCCCCACUCACAUUAGUCUUGUGAUCUCCAGCAAGUGUCUUGAUAUUUCUCGUCCUCAGUUUUCCCACCUGCAAAGUGAAGAUCAUUGGAACGCCGAUUGCUGAGCACAUCAGGAAGGAUGUAAGGAGGGAUGCCUGGGUGGCUCAAGUUGGUUAAGCAUCUGCCUUCAGUUCAGGUCAUGAUCCCAGAGUCUGGGAUCGAGCCUUACAUGGGCUCCCUGCUCGGCUUCUCCUUCCACUCUUACCCCACUCAUGUUCUUGCUCUCUCUCUUUCUCUCUCAAAUAAGUAAAUAAAAUAUUUUUAAAAAGAAAGAUGUAAGGAACU